rnacentral:tRNA from 1 species
AACACGGUGGUCUAGCGGUCAGAACACUAGCCUUGUAAGCCUGGGGUCCCGGGUUCAAUUCCCGGUGGUGCUC